rnacentral:rRNA from 1 species
CCUACGGGAGGCUGCAGUGGGGAAUAUUGGACAAUGGGCGAAAGCCUGAUCCAGCCAUGCCGCGUGUGUGAAGAAGGCCUUCGGGUUGUAAAGCACUUUCAGUGGGGAAGAAAGCCUUGGGGCUAAUACCCUCGAGGAAGGACAUCACUCACAGAAGAAGCACCGGCUAACACCGUGCCAGCAGCCGCGGUAAUACGGAGGGUGCGAGCGUUAAUCGGAAUUACUGGGCGUAAGGCGCGCGUAGGCGGUCUGAUAAGCCGGUUGUGAAAGCCCCGGGCUCAACCUGGGAACGGCAUCCGGAACUGUCAGGCUAGAGUGCAGGAGAGGAAGGUAGAAUUCCCGGUGUAGCGGUGAAAUGCGUAGAGAUCGGGAGGAAUACCAGUGGCGAAGGCGGCCUUCUGGACUGACACUGACGCUGAGGUGCGAAAGCGUGGGUAGCAAACAGGAUUAGAUACCCCUGUAGUC